UGCCUAAUACAUGCAAGUGGAACGCAUGAUUGAUACCGGAGCUUGCUCCACCAUUAAUCAUGAGUCGCGAACGGGUGAGUAACGCGUAGGUAACCUACCUCAUAGCGGGGGAUAACUAUUGGAAACGAUAGCUAAUACCGCAUAACAGUAUUUAUCGCAUGGUAAAUGCUUGAAAGGAGCAAAUGCUUCACUAUGAGAUGGACCUGCGUUGUAUUAGCUAGUUGGUGGGGUAACGGCUCACCAAGGCAUCGAUACAUAGCCGACCUGAGAGGGUGAUCGGCCACACUGGGACUGAGACACGGCCCAGACUCCUACGGGAGGCAGCAGUAGGGAAUCUUCGGCAAUGGGGGGAACCCUGACCGAGCAACGCCGCGUGAGUGAAGAAGGUUUUCGGAUCGUAAAGCUCUGUUGUAAG
rnacentral:rRNA from 1 species